rnacentral:rRNA from 1 species
CCUACGGGAGGCAGCAGUGGGGAAUAUUGCACAAUGGGGGAAACCCUGAUGCAGCGACGCCGCGUGAGCGAUGAAGUAUUUCGGUAUGUAAAGCUCUAUCAGCAGGGAAGCAAAUGACGGUACCUGACUAAGAAGCCCCGGCUAACUACGUGCCAGCAGCCGCGGUUAUACGUAGGGGGCAAGCGUUAUCCGGAUUUACUGGGUGUAAAGGGGGCGUAGACGGCGAUGCAAGCCAGAUGGGAAAGCCCGGGGCCCAACCCCGGGACUGCAGUUGGAACUGGCUAGCUGGAGUGUCGGAGAGGCAGGUGGAAUGCCUAGUGUAGCGGUGAAAUGCGUAGAUAUCAGGAGGAACACCAGUGGCGAAGGCGGCAUGCUGGACGAUGACUGACGCUGAGGCUCGAAAGCGUGGGGAGCAAACAGGAUUAGAUACCCUGGUAGUC